UUCGUAGGUGGCCAACUAAGUCAGACGUGAAAUCCCUCAGCUUAACUGGGGAACUGCGUCUGAUACUGGAUGGCUUGAGUGUAGGAGAGGAAUGCGGAAUUCCAGGUGUAGCGGUGAAAUGCGUAGAUAUCUGGAGGAACACCGGUGGCGAAGGCGGCAUUCUGGACCACAACUGACACUGAGGAACGAAAGCCAGGGGAGCAAACGGGAUUAGAUACCCCGGUAGUCCUGGCCCUAAACGAUGAAUGCUUGGUGUAACGGGUAUCGAUCCCUGUUGUGCCGAAGCUAACGCAUUAAGCAUUCCGCCUGGGGAGUACGGUCGCAAGGCUGAA
rnacentral:rRNA from 1 species